UACGAAGGGGGCUAGCGUUGCUCGGAACCACUGGGCGUAAAGGGCGCGUAGGCGGCCGGCCAAGUCGGGGGUGAAAGCCUGUGGCUCAACCACAGAAUGGCCCUCGAUACUGGACGGCUCGAGACCGGAAGAGGUUGGUGGAAUUGCGAGUGUAGAGGUGAAAUUCGUAGAUAUUCGCAAGAACACCGGUGGCGAAGGCGGCCAACUGGUCCGGAUCUGACGCUGAGGCGCGAAAGCGUGGGGAGCAAACAGG
rnacentral:rRNA from 1 species